rnacentral:rRNA from 1 species
GGGGAAUAUUGGACAAUGGGCGAAAGCCUGAUCCAGCCAUGCCGCGUGUGUGAAGAAGGUCUUCGGAUUGUAAAGCACUUUAAGUUGGGAGGAAGGGUUGUAGAUUAAUACUCUGCAAUUUUGACGUUACCGACAGAAUAAGCACCGGCUAACUUCGUGCCAGCAGCCGCGGUAAUACGAAGGGUGCAAGCGUUAAUCGGAAUUACUGGGCGUAAAGCGCGCGUAGGUGGUUCGUUAAGUUGGAUGUGAAAGCCCCGGGCUCAACCUGGGAACUGCAUCCAAAACUGGCGAGCUAGAGUACGGUAGAGGGUGGUGGAAUUUCCUGUGUAGCGGUGAAAUGCGUAGAUAUAGGAAGGAACACCAAUGGCGUAGGCAGGUUACUGGACCAUUUCUGACGCUAAGGCACGAAAGCGUGGGGAGCGAACC